rnacentral:lncRNA from 1 species
GUCUUGUGACUUGCUCCCGGUGGAACUCGCACAGGGCGUCCGACUUUCAGGUGCAUGGAUCUGGCCUUAUCUUUUGUGGCCACCUUACUUUUGGUCCGAACUUCUCCAAUGCGUACACUAUUUCUGAAGGUGAUACAUAAAAAAUAUGAGCGGAUAACAAAUGGGGCAUAUCUCUCUCGUUCCGGUGAGUCCCUGUCCUUGAUCUAGGUGGACCCUCUUCGCAGCGUGAGGGGGCAUGAUGGCACUUCUAAUAUACGGCUGAUAUCGUUCUCGGUUAGAUUGUGGAGCUGCGAGAUCUUUCCUGACAUUGUUUCUUUGAUCCCCCCUGGACUCGGCCUGUACCGAGGUCAACCAAUGAGUUGGCCUAUUUAGGUCGUCCUCGUCUGCACGGACAACGAUACAGUAGGCGUUAUGUAUUUCAUCUAAAGGUGUCUAACGGGCCGGGUUGACCCGUAACCGGACCAGCCCAGAUCGGUUAAAACCGGAACCGGACCAGCCCGGUACAUAGGGGUUGGGUAGGAGGGGUAGAGGGGGUUGGUCUGUUUAAAUUUUGGUAACGGUUAACCAGACGGGUCAAAUCCGGUCCACGUGAACAGUACCAUGUACCGGUUAAAUUUUGAAUUAAGUGGGGCCCACUAACCGUUGGCAACGGUCAGACCUGGCAGGGAUCCGUUGCCCGACGGGUUAAUUGCAUUAAUAGCCUAUUUUUUCUUUAAAAUUUAACCUUUUUCAAUUUACAAAAUUAACCUUCUCUAAAACUAUAAAUACACUCCCCUCUUCUUCAUUUCUUCACUCAACUCUCAUUUCUCAAUCUCAAUUUCUCUCGUUCUCUCAUUCUCCAAUUUUCAAUAUUUCAAGUCUCAAUCUCAAAUUCUCAAUUCUCAAAUCUCAAUUCAAUUUAAAUCAUGCCUCGUACUUCUAGAGUGCGCUCAUAUGUUUGGCAACACUUUGAGGUAGUAGAAGAAAAUGAAGAAGGUCAGAAANNNNNNNNNNNNNNNNNNNNNNNNNAAAAAAAAUACACUAAACCUGGCCCGGCCCCGUUAACCCGUAACCCUUACGGUUCAAUUUUUACCCGGAUGAACCCGUUAAACCCGUUAAGCCCCAACCCAUAACCGGCCCGGACCGUAACCCGUACGGGUCCAAAAAAUAGUAACCUGGCCCGGCCCACCCGUUUAACACCUAUAAUUUCACCCCAAGUGGUUGGAGGAUAUUUCAUAAGCCGACAUAAUAACUUUCUGGUCGCCCUUGAACCAUUCCUGCUCAGCCCGUUUUGGAAAUAUGCUACGACCAUUCCUUCCAAUACAUUUGGUAAAGUCAUUCUUACUCGAAUGAAUCGAGCGAGGGAAAUGGCCGUGCUGCUCGCCCGCUGUUGGUGUAAUGUAAGCCCUUACAUUUUCUCUUACGGUCUCCUGGGCGGGCUUGUUGAGUAUGCCAGUUAGCGUGUUAGUUAGACUUUUUUACUGCUGGUGGCGUCUCUUCCGUUGUAUAUGUGGAAGCUCUUUUACCGCGAGAUGUUGUGAUACUGCCGUGAGGGAGGGGUGACCCACUUCGCGUGGGGGGAGGCAUUAGGCGUUAUGUCGUCACCUUCUGUCUCAGAAACCUCAUUGAUGGUGUUCAAGAGAUUGGUGGUGAGGUCAACCACUACCCUCAUUCUUUCUUCUCUGUUACCUGCCAUGUCAGAUCCGUGUGUACAAGGAAAAAGGUAGUUUUUUUUUUUUGUAAACCGUGAUAGUUAUAAAUCUAGAAAAAACUAAAGAUUUAACUAGGAAAUCCCUACAGACGGCGCCAGAUUGUUUGACCAAAAAGUGUAAAUCUUCGGUUAAACUAAUUAAUCUUAUGUAAUGAGGGGUUAAACCUGGUUAAUGAUAAUAUCUCUAGAUUUAUAACCGGUUAACACAAAUAACGCAAAACAACGUUAGUGGGGGAUUAAAUGCAGUGUGCAUUUAAUAUUCCAAGAGAUUUGAGUGAUGAUUGAAGAAUAUCAAACAAUAAAUAACAAUAAAUGACAUUAAUGUAAACAAGGAGAAUGAUUCACCAAACAUUGAAUGAGGUGGAUGAUUCUUCUUUCUGAUAGUGAUGAGUGACAGACAAAUCCUAAAAUAUUGGAACUAUUCUCGGUUCUAAUGGAAUAAUUGAUGGUAGAAUCUUAGUAAAAAGGUAGUGUUUGUAUCUUUUGUAGAGAGAGAGUCUUCUUCUCAAAAAGUGUUCUUAUCAAACUUAAUAUUACAUACCAUUUUCCCCUAUCUCUUUUUCUAUUUAUAUUGGACAUAUCCCUAGUUAACCCUAAAAGUACAAAUACAGGGAAUAUUCAAUGAAUAUUCUCUUAAAUAUCCUAUUACAAAAACUAGCCGUUAGUACUGUCAGGGAAUAUUCAAUGAAAUAUUCUCUUAAAUAUCCUAUUACAAAAACUAGCCGUUAGUACUGUUUUUGAUACUUAACCUCGACCGUUAUUGACCGCCCAACUACGAGCCCCACUGCUUACUAGUCGAUCUUGGCCACAUCACUUUCUAUAAUACCACUCGGUGCUAAAUCCCCUUGAGGUAGAUUUUGACCUAUACACAUAUUCCAUUAAGAAGUUAAACUAAAUUAAAAAUUACAAUAUGCAUGUUCAUUAAUCUUUUAAAUAAUAACAUUUAUUUAUUCAUAAAAAUAAGUAAUUAAUUAUUUUUUUGAGUCAUCAUGCUAAUUGAUAAAUAGACUCAACUUAUAUGCAUAUUCUUUUUUUAUAAUUUGAUUCUUAAUACAUUUUAAAAAAUAUUGGUCAAAAAAUAAACUCUUCAAAUAAAUUAGCUAAGCAAAACUACAAUUUCCAAAAUGCUUCAAGCUAAUUUUAACACCUUGACCAAACACAUAAGAUAAUAUCAGUAGGAGCAAAAUGACAAUUUGAAAUUAAAGAGUCUUCAAGUUAGAUAUUAGAUAUGGAUCCAAAAUCAACUUAAUGAGUCUAUCGUGGAAAUGACAUCAUGUAGUUAUUUUUAAUCAUGUUGUUUAAAAUAUAUUUACAAUGUUUUUAAGAUUAAUAAAUUCGCUCAAACUUGAGGACAAGACGUCCUAGAAUUUAAACCUCAAAAUUAAACUUUAGGACAUCGUGCCCUAAAGUUCGAAAUUUAUGUCCAAAACUUCGAAUCUUAUGUCCUGAAUUUCAAAUUAGUAGCUCAAAAAUUCAAGACGCUAAGUCCCGAAUUUCCAAAUUUAGGAUACUUAGUUAUGAAAUUUGGGUGAAUUGGUUAAUUUUUAAAUACAUUAUACAUUAUACAUUAUGAAUAUAUUUUAAACAAUAUGCUUAAGAGUGGCUAUUGGUGCAAUUCGCCCUUCUAUUCCUAAGAUUUCUAUCAUUGAAUUAAUUUAAACUUUUACACUAAAUAUUACUCCAUUUACUAAUAAUCAUCAUAAUAUAAAAAUAUUAAAAUAAUAUUUGGGUCUUUAAAUUAAAUGGUCCAAACGCCAUAUAUGCUACCACCUUUUGUUUCAUUCUUAUCCCUUAAUGUGGAAAAAAAGUUCCCCACCACUUAGCUGCUCCAUUGGUAACCUUCAAUCGACAAUGGAAGCUCCUCAAUUUCAAGCCAGUCUCCAAUUCAGACGUUUCUUGGCGUCCCAAAGCCCAUGGUAACGAGCAUUCUCAUUUAUCUUCAACUUCGAUUGCUUUAAUUAGUGUUCUUCAGAACAAGGGCGGAGUUAGAAGCCGAAUACGGGUUCGGCUGAAUCCAUUAGCUUUUGCUCAAAUACUGUAUUUGUAAUAAUUUUUUUAUUAAAUAUGUAUAAAUAUUAAAUUUAGAACCAAGUUAUUAGCAUUUAAAGUCGUUAUUCUAAAAACACAUGAAGUUGAAAUCCCAGCUCCGCCUUGGCUUCGGAAUACUUUUUAGUUUAUGUAGUUGUUUGUUAACCAGAAAUCGUUAGUUUCAUGAUGUAGAUUCAUAUUUAUAUUAAAUUCGCAUCUAUUAUCGGGAAGGAGUAGUGGUUAAAAGUACUAUAUGCACCGAUUUAAAACCCUGAAUCCGCUUUUUUGAUGGUCAUAUGACAGAAAAGACUAUUGUUUUAGUUAUUAAAUAGUUUAAACGGUUAAUUAUUCAUUAAAUCUAUGAAAAUUCACAAGCAUAGGGAUCAAAAGUGCACAUUAUAGUUAAUUGAAUGUGCUUAACCAUAUAUCACAAGGACCAAUAUCCCUAAUAUUUCUGAACCACUUUUGCCACUGCACUAGAAGCUUUUUGUAAAAAAAAUCCAAGGGGAUUCAAAAAUCUAUAUAUACAAAAAAUUAUUAUAUCCUGUUGCACAGUGCAGGGGUGGCAAACGGCUGGAUCGGGUCGGAUACGGCGGGUCGAAAAACGGGUAAUGCAAAACGGAUAAAUCAUCCAAUCUGGCCCAUAUUUAAUACAAAUAAAAAAUUUUAUCCGGCGGAUAAUAUGGUAUCUAUAUUAUGCAUGACUUCUUGAAUAUGAUCACUUUUGGGAGAAUACCUAGUCUUUCAAACUCGAGGAACCCCCAAUUUGAGGCUUUAUAAAUGUAAUAGUUAAUCUCAUUAGUUAUCCAUUGAUUAUCCAUUUUUUAAGUGGAUAAUAUGAUUCUUAUCCAGAUUUGACCAUUUUUUAAAAAGUUUAUUAUCCAACCCGUUUUUAAAUGGAAAACAUGGGUGCAUAACUAUUUUCUUUUAACUAUUUUGCCACCACUAGUACAGUGUAAUUUUUGUAUAGAGGCGAUUCAAUACAUGCGGCUCCAGCACGGAAUAGUUGGAGCCUAGAUUUUACAAACCUGAUGCAAGAUGGUCCAGUUUAUGGAUGAAUGGAAUUUUUGUAGUUAGAGAAAAAAACAGAAGAAGACAAAGAAAGAAGAAAAAGAAGAAGAAUAUUAAAUGUGUCAUUUGCUUAAUCCUACUUGUAAUUUAUAACUUGUUUAUGCUAACAGUUUUAGAGACUCUGAUCAUUGUAAGAUUGCUGCACCUAAAGCCUCAGAUCAAAGAAUGCCAUCUCUAAAUGUCAAAAAGUUGCUAAGAAGGUCAGUUCUGCAACUUGUUGGAUUGAGUCCCAUCUUCAUUAGUAUUCGUCCUGUCUUAUCUGCUCCAGUUCAGGAGAUGAAAGAACCUGAUGUUAUCCGGUAAAUGUUGUUUCCAUUUCUUUAAUCUCCACAAUUAAAUUGUCUAUAUGGCCUAGAAUAAGUGCUGUCAUUAUUUUAAUGGUGUUGUUAAUUUGGAUUUGAAGCAUUCAGGACUCUAAAGCUUGCUAGUGGAGUGAGAAUACAAGGUACAUCCCCUUUUAAGGUUAUUAAAUAAAUACAGUCAAACCUCUCUAUAACAGCCUUAUUUGUUCCGGAUUUUCUUGGUUGUUAUAGCGUAAUGCUAUUAUAGAGAACAUAUAUUAUAACAUAUUAGUUCCAAAGAAACUUGGCUUUUAUGGUGAAUGAGUGUUAUAUAGCGAUGCUGUUAUAGAGAGGUCUGACUGAAUUUUAUAAGAUGUUUUCUAAUUGAGAUAUUUGAUUAGUUUUACUUGGAGCUAAUAACAACCCUGGCUGUAGGUUAAUUGCUAUUUGACUUAUUAAUGGAUAGUAUUAGCUCAAACACCAGCUUAGCUUGGCUUGUUUGGGACAAUAUCAUCAAAUCCUGAAUCCUAAUUCGGGGGAAUACUCAUAAGCUCUAAAUUCUACAAGUAAGCCAAACCAUUCAAUUUCAAGCCGAUUCUAGGAAAAUUGACUUCACAUAGAUACACAAAAACACACCAAACAUGCCCUCGACAGAUAGUCAUCAAACUUAGCAAACAAGGAGGAGAACAACUUUGUUGAAAUCUCAAACAACUGCAUGGACUUUUAGCGUCAAGAAAGAAAAAGAUAUUCAUUGCUGGUGGUAGGACCAAUGUUUUUCUUACUUGCAGGUUUAGCUGUUUAGGAAGAAUUGAGAGCAUUAGGAGGAAGAAUCUUAAGUGACAAAGUAGAAAAGAGUUGUGGGAAGAGAAGGGGUAACAAUGAUGAAUCCAGGGCUGGGAUGUGGGAACAUUGAAAUAAAGGUGUAAAUUUGUUGUUUGAUUUCAUUAUCAAGUAUCCCUACUAUAAAUAUGUUCUAAAUGAAAGUGACAAAGGAAAUUGUAUAUUACGAAGUUAAAAUGUUUAAUAAGCUGGACGCAAUUUCAAUAAUUUGGGAAAUACAUAUAGGCUUAUGUUUGGCGAAUAAAUAUACAUUCGUGAAUAUGACUUUUGACGAGCUUGAUUUGGUUAAUCAUUGAAGUAAAUAGUCUGGUGUGUGUUUCUUUAUUGAAGAAACAAGUCAAGGUUGAGUUUACACGAGUCCAGUUGAGUUUUCUUCACGACUCCUUUGAUCAUUUUAGAGCUUGAAGAUGUUAUAAUUGAAUGGAACAUGAUCACUUGCUUUCACAUUUGACGUGCUGCAGUUUCACGUAUUUAAUGUUUGGAGCAUGCAUACAGCAUACAGGAUAAGAAUUGUAGAUUUUAACCCAGCGAGAAAGUUAAGAGGAAAAGCAACUUUUAUUGAAAAAGUAACUGUUUAAUGAUCUCCUUCCUUACAGUCAUAAGUUCAAUUUAAUGAAGAAGUCAGUGAUAUCGUGACAAGCGUAAAAAUAUUAUGCUGAGAGGAGGCACAUCAAUCUGUCCGUGUCGUUCUUGUUUUAUAUUUCUGAGUAUUAAUAUGAGUUGUUGGGUCUUCUAAAGAUGUUGUUGAAGGGGAAGGACCAGAGGCUCAUGAAGGAGAUAUCGUCGAAAUUAAUUAUGUCUGCCGACGAUCAAAUGGAUAUUUUGUCCACAGGUACUGUUUUCAGUUUAUAUUCUGCUCCUCCAGAUAUUUGUUCGUCAGUAAAUCCAUGUCAUGCUUUCUUCUAUUUUGUGGAAUUGACAUUGAACUUCUUCAUUUUGCUUCAAUGUAGUACGGUGGACCAAUUCAGCGGAGAAAGUGCCCCUGUCAUACUUCCUCUGGAUGAUACACAGGUUACCAUUUUUGUUAUAGCUUCGGGCUAAAAAUAGAACAUCUUAAAGGUCAGACAGCAACCUUCUGAUAUCCAUUAUGUGGCAUGGCUGGAAGCUGUCAAGAAGUUAUAUUGCAUCUAUUUUUCUAUUAACUGCGUACAUCUUACCCUCCCCAGACCCCACUUGUGGGAAACAAGGGCGGAGCUAGCAUAGGAUUUGCGGGUUCGGCCGAACCCAGUAACUUUGGUGCAAACCCUGUAUUUAUCUUUAAAAAUCCAUUGAAUAUGUAUAAAUUGUUAAUUUAGAACCCAAUAACAUAAACGAACUAGAAUCUCGAACCCACAAGCUCCAAAUCCUGGCUCCGCCUCACUCCGCCUCUGGACUGGGAAAUUACUGGGUUUGUUGUUGUUGUUGUUGUUGUUGUCAUUUGUGCCUUCAAAAUGGGUGGUCAAAUAGAGCCACUUGGUUAAUCAAAUAGGUGUUAAGAGGUAACUUGUAGUCUGUAGACAAGGUUUCUUGAUGAGUUCAAAAAUAAUCUUUUUUCCUAUCUUCUUACAAUUUCUUAAAGACAUGCUAGAAAUGUCUUGGUACGUAUUGUCGAAGGUCACACAGAAGAAAAAAAGCGGAGAGACGAAAUGCAGAGAAACUUAGAAGUACGCUAAACUAGUAACAAAUUAACAAGAAGAAUAACCAUUGUUUAGGCAACGUAUUGUGCUGCCAGGACAAGCUGCUGUCUUGCUGAGCAACAACCUGUACUGUUUUAAUCUUUCAGAUAUAAAAUUUAUACUGCCGUCAACUGGUGAUGAUAAAGAUGUACUGCGCUCAAACGUUUCUAACGUUGACCAUGUCGUCCCUCCUAGCAUAGAACAUAGUAGCUGCAUUACCCCUUUCUUCUCCUUCACUUUCCCCUGCCAUCAAGACUGCUGAGGUUAAGGAUAUCUACGUUGUCUGUGUCUUCUCGCCAUCAUUAGUCAUAGCUGCAUUUCUCCCCUCUUCUUUCUAUAUGUCUAGUUUGGGAAGGGUUGGGGGAUAGUUGAUAAUUAACUGCAUUCUUGUUUUCUUUAUUGAAGGGGAGCCUUGGAGCAACGGUUAAGCUGUCUCCGUGUGACUUAUAGGUCACAGGUUCGAGCCGCGGAAGCCACUAAUGCUUGCAUUAGGGGUGCGGUCCUUCCUCGAACCCUGCGUGAAUGCGUGAUGCUUUGUGCACCGGGUUGCUCCUUUUUCUUGUUUUUCAUACUAAGUCUGUGAAUCUGCAGAUAAUUGAAGGUCUGAAGGAAGUCUUGAUUGGAAUGAAGCCUGGAGGUUGUGCCUACUCUUUAAGAAUUUAUUCACUUUUUGUUUGCAAAAUAUAUUCAAACCAUAGUAAAUGACAGGACCUCAGGGAAAACUUAUUGGCCAUUUUUUUUUUUAAUAUAAGUUCUAUUUGUUUGAGCUGUAAGGCCUGUACUGCAGGAAAAAGAAGAGCGCUGAUACCGCCUUCGGUAGGAUACAUCAAUGAAAACUUAAAACCAGUACCUGAAGAGGUAUGUGUUCUCAGAAAUUUAUUCAUUUAACAUCCUUUUGGUGCCCUUAUCCUACACUCUCCAACUAACUGAAUCUAUGAUUCUAUGUUCCUUUUCUGCUUUAUACAGUUAAACCUCUCUAUAACAAUGUCGUUUGUUCUGAAAUUUUUUGGCUGCUAUAGUGAAAUGUUGUUAUAGAGGACAUAUAUUAUAACAUAAUAUAAUAAUGGGUUCCGAGAAAAACUCGGUUUUUAUAGUGAAUGACUAUUAUAUAGGAAUGUUGUUAUAGAGAUAUCUGACUGUAGUUGAUGUUAUUGGUUCAUCAAACGGAUAUUUGUCGUGUUGCAGUUUGGGCCAAGGCGUAGCCUUAUGUCUCAUGUGAAGGAGCCUCUAAUUUUUGAAGUGCAGCUGUUGAAAGUUUUAUGAGUAUCAUACUUAUUGUCGGUGCUUAACUAUAGUACGUAAGUUUUUUAAUUGAUUAACUUCAUUACUUUGAUCUCUUGAACAGUGUACUGAAUUUUUGCCAAGAUAUGCUAAAAUUGUCAGCGCGGGAUGUUCCUAAACUGGUUAUAAUAUUGGUUUAAUUUCUAGUUUAAGGGAACUUAUUCUUUAGACAAAACUUCUACUUGGUUACUGUAAUGACUAGUACAUAUUGUUUAGUACCAUUAGUAGUAAUUUUAUCACUAGUGGGUUGAGCUAUUACAUAUGCGUGCAACCUUGAACGAUGGUGGGGCAAACCUACGUGAGGACGUUGAGUCCUUCUAAGGGGGUGUAUGUGACACCCAAGCGAAUCAAACACGACACGGGAUAGAUGUAGUUAUAUAAGUAGACUAGCCUUAGACUCUAGUGAUGCGUUUUAAAACCGUGCGGGUCUAGGUCCAAAGCGGACAAUAUCAUUAGUGGGUUGAACUAUUACAUAAAUUUCAAAUACGAGUUUAUUUAUGUGAGAGUAAUAGCACAUUCAGCAGAUGCAAAUGAGUGAGUGACCAUCUUUUUUUUAGAUGCAAUAACAUCUUCCUUGACUUCUUUUCAGUGAAUGAAUGACCAUCUUUUUGUUAGAUGCAAUAAUAUCAAAAUCAGUUUAUAUACACCUUAACUAAUUUUAUUGAACGAUCAAAUGGACUCGCACCGAGUAUUAUAUUAAAUUUGAACCUGAUAUCUCAUGUUGUUACUACUAUAAUUCUACAACCAGCCGCUCAACCAUCUUGGGACUAACUGGCUGCCUUACCGUAGUGGGCGUUUGGACAUAAGAAUUGUAAAAUUCCUAAAAAAAAAAGUGAUUUUUUUUUUUCAAAUAAAAAUGAUAUUUGAAAAUUAGAGUUGUGUUUGGACAUGAAUAUAAUUUUUGGGUUGUUUUUUAGUUUUUUGUGAGUGAUCAGAGUGAAAAUUUUGAAAAAUAGCUUUUUGAAGUUUUUCAAAUUUUCGAAAAAUUCCAAAAUUCAUCUUCAAGUGAAAACUGGAAAUUUUAUUGCGAAACAUUAAUUUUAAAAAAAAGUGAAAAAAUUCUUAUGUCCAAACGGGCUCCUAGUUUCCUAAAAAGAACUUUCCUUUUCAGCUAAUAGGACUUGCUAAUUCUUACUCCCUCCGUUCAACAUUCCCUUUUUGUUUGAAAACAUAUAGCAACUUUUUAAAUUUGGAAAUAAUUUAACUUAAAUUUUCUUUUUAGCUUUAAGGAGCUCACUCACUGAAAAGAAGUUAAAGGAAGGAAGCUGGUUCUCUAAUAGUCCUAUUGAAUGGGAGGGUGAAGGCUUUUUGAAAAGUCUAGUUUAUCUUGUAAAUGAAUUUCUUUUCUAUUUAGAGAGAAGGAGUUUUGAGUUCUUAGGAAGAGCAUGAGACAACUCACGUGCAGUUCAAAGAGCCUAAUAGAAUAAGUGAGGAUCACUCUGAAUCGUUAUUUUUUUUUUUUGCUAUAACUUUGCCGAGCCACCUAGCCUCUUGCAUUUUUCGAAUAAAGAAGAUGGUUAUAAGAUCAAAUUCGCUUUAAGAAGUAACUUUCAUCUUUAGUAAUUUACCAAGGUAUCAGAGAUAUAACUUUCUAGACACUUUUGAGAUCUCACUCUUUCAAGUCUAUGAGCCCGUUUGGCCAUGAAUUUUUUUACUUUUUUCAAAAUCAAUGUUUGGCCAUACAUUUUUUAAUUUUUAUUUGAAGAUGAAUUUUGGAAUUUUUCGAAAAUUUGAAAAACUCCAAAAAACUAUUUUUUAAUUUCACUCAGACCAUUCACAAAAAUUCAAAAAUAACCUAAAAUUAUAUUUGUAUCUAAAUACAACUCUAAUUUUUAAAUAAUAUUUUCGCUUGAAAAAAUAUUUCACUUUUUUCGGAAUUUUACAAUUCUUAUGUUCAAACGCCCACUAUAUUUGUGCAGGCAGAUUGAGGCUCCUCAAAUUUUGCAAAAUGCGAUAAAUAAAAUUAAAAAAGAAAUAAGGGGUGAAGUCACAAUUAAGAACGAGCUUACAACUUUACCAAAAUAGUAAGUCGAUCCCCGAGAUGUAAGAAUAACGAGGCCCACUUAUCAACAGACUCCAGCUAAAAGUGUUUCGGUUUCUGUGCCAUUUAUAAAUUUCUGUUGUUCAUUGUCUAAAGAAAGUUUUGACAAUUAAAUACAAGAAUAUAGAAAAUAUUAAAUAAUUGACAAAAGGUUACAAGAGCAGGAAUUAUCUGAACUAUAAUUUAAUAAACAUUUCCUUCUCCAAAAAUUUACUAAAACAAAGACAGUAAUUUAGGGGCUGAGCCACAAUAUUGUUACGGAUUCAGCGCAAUCUAGUAAUUUUUUUAUUAGACUCUUGCAUUUGUAUUAAAUGACUCUAAUAUGUAUAAAUAUUUAAUUUCGUACGUAAUAAUUGAAACGUGUUAUGAAUCGAUAAAUUUCAAAUUUUGACUUAGAGCUUUCUACAAAAAAAGCGAUGCAAGAACGUAUUCUUUUAUCUAAGCUUCUUCCCUGUGCAUUAGCUCCCCCCAUCGUAGAUGGUUCAGCCACGCCCGGUGCCACGAAAUGAUUGAGAACUACGUCGGGGUCGAAAUGAAUUUUGUUCUUUGUAUUCAAUAAGUAUUGCAUGACCGGAUAAUUCAAGGAAGGGCGGACUGCGGGGAGGAUCCUUUUAAGUAGAUGACUCGUCGGUCGGUCGGAGCGGAACUUCUUUGGGAAAAAGAACUUAAAUAAGUUUAUUGUUCUGAAGGAGUCGUCAUUUUACCUUUUAUAUUCUGUUUUCUCAUAAUUUUUUAGUGGCGAAUUUUAUCCAUUUAAUGUAAGUGGUAGUUUAGGGACAAAUCUACAAACAAAUGGUAAAACUUAAACUCGCUCCAAUUCCCAGGCACGUUGGAAUAUAGUUUUGAUUUAAUUUAAGAAAUAGAAUCUCAAGUUUAAAGGAUGUAAUUUGUAAAACUCAUUUUGUAAAUUGUAAAAAACUUAGAAAUUACUAUUUGAUUUAUAGUGCGUUAUAGUCUAAACAGUACUUCAAGAAAUUAACCCGAAUAUGGUUUAACGUUUACUCCGCCGGUCUUAUUUUAUGUGAAUAUAUUACUAUUUAGGAAUCAAAUAAUUUUUUAUUAUAUUUUCUCAAACUCUUUUUAAAUAUUUGAAUUAUUUAAUAUUAACUAAGUUGACAAGAGGGGUUGUUCUGAUGGUAAACAACCUCCAUUUCCAAUCACGAGGUUGUGAGUUCGAGUCUCCCAAGAGCAAGACGGGAAGUUCUUGGAGGGAAGGAUGUCGAGGGUCUAUUUGGAAACAGCCUCUCUACCCCAGGAUAGAGGAAAGGUCAAGUGGGAUUAUACUGAGUUGUUGUUGUUGUUGACUUACUUUUCAUGCAAUCCUCAAAUAUGUAAUGUUUUAUUUUAAAGCAAUAAAGAAUUUAUGUUCAAAUUAUCAUUAAAAAUUGUAAAUAUUUUGAUACUUUUACUAUGAACUACUUCAUAUAAAUUGGGACAAAGCGAUAAUUAUUGUUGAUGAGAAUAUUAAGUAAUAUCUUUCCAUCUAUUCAAAUUUAAAUAGAAAAAUAACACAAUAUUUAUACAAUUAGGACUAACAAAAGUCGCAUAAAAUUAAUCGAGAUAUACAUAAACUGACGGCAACAUAAGAAAAAGACUUUAGGAAAAGGAAAGUAAUUGGGUAAAAUUCACUCAAUUGUCGUUGGCUUAAAGUCCACAUCAGAAGGAGAGUGGACCCCACAUCCGAUUCGGUGCUGAGGUGUAACGGCUCACCUCUUAUCAUGAUUCCGUACAAUAUUUUUCUUUUAAUUUGUUUACUUAUUAUAAUAAGCUAUAUACUAUAAAGCAACGUAAAUAUUUAACUACUACAACAACUCAGUAUAAUCCUACUAAGUGGGGUCUGGGGACGGUAGUGUGUACGCAAACCUUAAAUAUAUAACUAUUUGUUAAAAAUCAUGUUAAAAAGUAUAAUAAAAGAAAAAUUGUUUACUUCAAAAUAACAAAAAAUUCAUAUAAAAUAAUAUCAUAUAAUUUAAAAAAACUGUGAAAACUGCUCAAGUUUCACUACUCAAAUAUAAAUUUUCCUUUUGACUACUUAAAUAUGAUAUUUCUUUUAUUAGUAACUAGUUUUUUCCUAAUUCAAUAAAUAUCAAAUAAAAUAUACUUACAUAUAUAUAUUUUUACGACUUAAUUAUGGUUAAUAAUCACCUCUAUUUUUUGUAUUCCCCUAGAAUUAACUUUUUUUAUAGGAUUUACCAUCAAAGGAGUGUUGUGGAUAGAUGAAAUUCUUUCGAUAUUAACUUGAAGUCUCGACUUUGAAUUUCGUAAAUUUGUGAUACGAACUGCUACCUAUUUUAAUGAUCUAUAUAUAGCAAAAAUUUGAAUUAGCGGGGCGAACACGCCAAAUGUUAAACAAAAACAAAAUGUACAAUAUUUAAUGGUGGAAUUAGGUUUGAGCUCUUAGAUCCUUGAUAAGAAGCUUUCAUUUAACGAGUUGGAAUUUGAAUUAAUCGAGUCACUAAUUUCGAAGUUAGAACAUCAUAUAAUUAAUUAAUUAAAAAAAGAUUUUUUUUUACCUGAUUUGGUGCAACCACAUAGCAUAAUUAGUAUCUAAUGACCAAAGAGGGUUGUGGUGGAGUAGCAAGUACUUCUUCAUCCCUAAUCGGAGGUCAUGGGUAUAGAGUCGCCUUUGUUAGUGAGCGUUUUACCCCAAUGUGGGACUUUCCGGUGCGAAUCCGAAUUUAGUCGGGCCCAACUACAGUGGUAAACCAAAAAACAAACAAACUAGUAUCUAGUGUAAACAGUGGCCUGUCACUGUAAUUUCACCAAAAAUAUCAACACAAUAAUACAGCAAACCGCUCCUUCUCUGAACUUUCCGCCCCUAUAAAUUCACUUGGGUCCGCAGCAAACUGCUUAAAAAUCAUAUAUUUUGAUACUGAAUAAGAUACUGUUCCUUAUUUUUUUUCUCUCAUUAUUCCAGUAAAAGAUCUUUAUUCUUUUUUAGCUGAAUCCAGCCAUAAAAAGGUAUAUUCCAGAAUCUGAUUCAUAUCUAUAUAUUUUGUAUUUAACUUUUGCACUCACAUUAACAUUUUUGCUUUAUUUGUUCUGUUCAGUUUGUGUUGGAGAUAUGGAUCUUGAUGUUGAUUAGUGAAUAUCUUUAAUCUGUUGAAGUAUGUGUUAAAGAUUUUGAUUUGAGAAAAAAAAUCCCCUUUUUUUUAUGAUAGAGUUAAGAUUUUUAGUGAAGUUAAGUACUUUAAUACAGUUUAGAAGGUAGAAUCUUUAUUGCUAUUAUUAAUUCUUCUGGUCCCCCCCCCCCCCACAACCCCACCCCGAGGGCCCUCAUUAGGGGUUAGGUGAUUUGGUUGUGGCAAAGAAGUGUUCUUUUUAGAUAUUUUUUUAGCUGCUGACAUGUGCUGAGUCAGUCUUUCAAUUUUCUGAGUGAUCAUUUGUACUCAAUUUGAGGAUGUUUGAACCGUGAUAAGGGUAGCCCAGUACACAAGGCAUCCUGCCUUUACGCAAGGUACGGGGAAGGGUCGCACCCCAAGAGGUGUCAUGUAGACAGUCUAACCUAAUGCAAGUGUUAACGGCUGCUUCUACGGCUCGAACCCGUGACCUAUAGGUCACAUGGAGACAACUUUACCGCUGCUCCAAGUCUCCCCUUCAGUAAAGAUACUACCUUCUAAACUCUAUUAAAGUACUUAAUUUCACUAAAAAUCUGAACUUUAUCAUAACGGUGGAGUAAUCGAUACAUAGUAAAUGGGAUUUUGAGAGAUUCUUUAGGGGAAAACUGAAGUAAGUCUUUAAGGGGGGAAAGAGUAGGGUGCAGAGUAUAAAGUUUUGAAAUACACAAGAGGAAAAGAUGAUUUUAUUCAUGAACAACAUGCUCUUUAUAUAGAGCAGAUACAAACUGAAAUACAUAAUAGUGGAACAAACCGAUGUGAUAAGAUUUUGUGCAGCAGAAUACACUAGAAUACAGGGAACUAACAAAAUCCUAAAACUAGAAAAUAGGAAGCUAAAAACAAACUACUAAACUGAAGGAUAACAAGUAUUAUCCUUUAAUACAGAGGUAACGAUAGAUGAGCUAAACUUCAUUUGACUAGAAUGUACAAUGCUUAUUAUCUGGACAUAUACUUUUGAUUUGUGAUUUUUCUCCAGCGAUCGACUACUAAAUUUUCACAUACCAAAUUUUCCUGGAGCUCCGUGAAUGUUAAUGCUUAUGCGUGCUCAUUAUCUCAAGGAAUCAUGAACUCUUUUCUAAAAUCAGUAACUAUGUAUUUUAUUCAUCCAAAGUGCACCAUGGAAGUGCUUGAAUAUGUACAAGCAAAAACCUCAGCAGUUCUAUAAUGUGGGAACUGACGUAUAAACAUCUGUAUCUAAGUCAAGGAAUUGUAAAUUAUGAACCUUGCUGUUUUUGACCUUUCAAAGGGAAAAAAAGGAAAAAGGAUUAUGUUGGACAAGAUCUCACAGAAGGCCAAUAUGUCUGUUAUUUUUCAUAGCAGCUAGUCAACUUAUGUAGGACUUGGCCGCAUGAAACGAUUCAGCAAAUUUUUAUCCUUAUGUUCAAUUUCAGUUAAAAAAUAUGCAGCUUAUCAAUUAUGCAGAUAUAUGCUCAAUGCAUAUGGCUACCUUUUCUCUUGCUCUGAAACACACGAGCAAAUAUUCUCUGUGUAUACGAGCAACAAAUACUAGUAAUAUAGAAUCUUGUCUGGCCACUUUCUUCUUAUACGCUUUUAUUCCAUCACGUGCUUGUUACGUAAAUGCAGAGCCUAUAAUCAAUCAAUGGGCUCAAAAGCAGUUGAAGAUUUGAUACAGGCAUCAUCAGGAGUUCAUUAUUCUGGAUUCCAUUUAGAAGAACCACAUACUUCAGAAGUUGAGCAACCAACAACUUCUAUUGAUGAAAGUGUUAAGCAACCCUUUGUCAUUGGUAUGUCGAGGCAGUAAUAUAUCUCUUGCUGUUACUUGAGCUUUUUCUCAACUAACUUUAGCUUCACUGCAAACGAUAGUUUUAGAUCGUGAAACUAAGACAGCUACUCAAUCUUUUCGGGACGGGUAUAUGAAGAACGGUUAAUUUCACUCAUCAUUCAAAUCAUUUUGGAUGGAUGUUAAUCGCCCUUGCAUUUUUGAUACUUAGUAAAGCUGUACAUUUAUAUAUAUGAUGACACUGGAUGAGAAAAUUAUGAUGUUGAAUUUGGUGAUGGAUGAGAAAUCAUUGUGCUUGCUUAAGAAUUGUUUAGAUAUAGGACCUAAAGUAAAUGUAUUAACAUGACUAAGAUAUGCUCCCAACUAAUUGGUGUCUCCUAAAUGGUUAGUGAGGAUUCAUAUAGCCGACACCGACUUGUUUUGGGAUUGAGGGGUGUGGUUUGACGUAGAAGUCCAGACCAAAACUUUAUCUGACUAAAGACUGGAUUUUUUUUGUGUGCUUGAUCCUGCUUUCUGCCUGCACCUCGGAAUGCAUUUGUCGUCUUUGUGGAGUUUUGUUCAGCAUUUGCUGGAAACGUAUUCCACGAGCUUUGCUUCUCUAAGUUUGUUGGUUGAUGCUUGUUCCUACAAUUAGCACAAGAUAGGGUAAUGAUGAGAGGAAAGACUUUACAGGUUCUCUAUGAGGUGUGCAUAUGUAUUGUUGGUCAAUAGAGCAGUUUGUGUGCUUUGAUGAGAAAAUAUCUCAGGGCUAUGGUUAAAGAUGGGAACGAAUCAUCGGGAUUUUAGUCAGUUCAUGUAAACUUGAGAACAGUACAGUGAUCUUAGUUUUCUACUUGAUGCAUGCUUAUAUAAGAUGUUUUACCUGCAGGAGUUGCUGGAGGUGCUGCAGCGGGCAAGACAACAGUUUGUGAUUUGAUUAUUGAUCAGCUUCACGAUCAGCGUGUUGUCCUAGUUAACCAGGUGGGUUUUCUUCAGAGUAGAAAAUGAAGCUUUUGUUUUUAUUUUUUUAUGUACGAGUCUAAAAAAACACCUUUCAUCACUUGAACAGACUGCAUAAUCUUUUCCUAUGCAGUUUUAACAGUGGAACUCUAUUUCUCUUAUCUCUUCCUAUUUAAUUGAUAAACGUUCACAAUUUGUUUAUAACAUCCACUUGACCUUUCUUCUUGAUGAGGUAUUGGAUAGCUGGGGUCCUACUCCGUAUUUUCCUAGGGCGGGUUAUCUCUAAUUUUCUUUCUAGUUUUGUAAAAAAUAUAUAUUAACCAAGCUAAAAUUAUAAAAUGUAAUUAUUCGUAAGCUCAGCAUCCAAUUCUUUUUGCUUAUGAUUUGGCAGUUUAUGGCUAUUCCAUGUACUAGUUCUAUCGCACCCCUGUCGUCUAUGACAAUAAAGUAUAACUUGAGGGAAUUUAACUUGCAUCUUAAGUUGUCUGUUUUCCACAACUUUUCGGUGCUCUUGCAUUAUAUUUGUCUUAAGUUUGGAAAAAAAAUGUAUAGCCUGCCAAAACACAAACACCUAUUUGUCUGACUUAUGUUUCAAUUGGCAGGAUUCUUUUUAUCACAAUUUGACACCAGAAGAACUCACAAAAGUUCAUGAGUACAACUUCGACCAUCCUGGUUAGUCUAGUUCUUUAUUAUCUGAAUUGAAUACACAGGUAAAAUUGUUUUAUCUCUUAGUUCCUCUGAGAAACAAAGAUAUCUUUUUCCAUGGUGAAUCAUUGCCAAACAUCCAUUUUAUCAUUCUAGCAGUUGACUGUAUACAAUUUGUAAUAGAUUGCCAGAAACUGCAAAGUUGAUUGUGGUUCAGCCAUUGAGGACUUAAAGUCCCUAAUCUUACUAGAAAUUCCUCAUAAACAGUUAGUAAUAGCUUCCAAAGAAAUGUUAACUCCAAAAAUCACUUAAUAAGGAUUUGAAAACCUAGUACUAGUUUUCACUUAUGUUGUGCGGACUCCCCUAAAAGUUGUCGCACCCAUGUCAGAUUCCUCUGAAAAUACAUUACUUUUGGAGGAUCUAACACGCACCCGGAGACAUUUUCGGAGAAAUCACUUAAUAAGAAUAUGUACUUAGUUUUAGAAAUAUUAAAAAGCUGUUCUAUUUUCUAGAAUAAUACGGUGGCUAAGUUUUACGCGUCUUUCUAAUUAUUGUGCUUUAUUCAGAUGCAUUUGACACUGAGUUAUUGUUGCGUGUGAUGGAGAAAUUGAAGCAUGGGCAAGCUGUAGAUAUUCCAAAAUAUGAUUUUAAGAGUUACAAAAAUGACGUAUUCCCCCUUCGAAGGGUAAUUUCUAUCUAGCAUGGCAUUUUCCUCUUCUUUUUUUUUCUUCUUUCAUUUCAGCUUGUAUUGUUACAUAGAGAUCAACCUAGUUUCUUUCCCUAUCUACGACCCAACCCCUCCUCAAAGGGAAAACAAGGAAGAAAAGGGGAAAGAUAACAUUCCAAUGAGAUGGAGCAUAGAUACACACGCUAUUGCCUGCGGCUAAUUUUAAUUUUGGGUGCCGAAUUAUCUAACAAGUGUCAUUAACCACUUUGACUUAAAAUACUUGGUAGGUCAAUCCUUCGGAUGUUAUAAUUUUGGAAGGUAUACUCAUAUUUCAUGAUCCUCGUGUCCGAGAUCUGAUGAGUAUGAAGAUAUUUGUAGAUACAGGUUCUUUCCUCUCCUUUCUUUGAUAUAUCUUUUUCGUAUAUUAGGUUAAUGCUUAUGCAUCUUGUUCUUUUCAGUUGUUUUAUCUAAAAACAUAACACCAAACUUGCACCCAAGGGUGUGGCCUAGUGGUCAAUGAAGCGGGUGAGAACCAUGAGGUCUCAAGUUCAAAUCCCAGCGGAGGCAAAAAAAAACUAGGUGAUUUCUUCUCAUCUAUCCAAGUCUUGGUGGAUAGAGUCACCUGGUACCUAUUGCUGGUGGGAGGUGGCAGGUACCCCGUGGAAUUAGUCGAGGUGCGCGCAAGCUGGCCUGGACGCUACAGUUAUCAAAAAAAAAUGUUAACACCAAACUUCAAAAACAAAUUGAAAUUUUUGGUCCUAGUCCUUUAUUUGCUUAGACCUCAUUUGGUCUCUAGAGAAGAAAAAAAGAAUCUAGAAAUAGGAAAUUAGGAAUACUACAAUGCUAUAUUGAAGUGGAUUAUUGAAGUUAUUUUACUUAUUUCUGCACAGCUUUUUGUUUUGCAACUAUUGUCAGUCUUCCUAACGUUUGAUAUGCUGAUUUAGUCUUAAUCACGAGGAUAAAACUUCUGCUUGUUGUUUCAUUCCAUGUCUACAGACAUCUAUUGUGAAUUCUCUACUUUUGUGGUUUCAUAAUUUAAAAUUUUCAGUGCAGAUGCUGAUGUACGGCUUGCAAGGAGAAUAAGACGUGAUACUGCUGAAAAGGGUAGAGAUAUCGCUACAGUACUUGAUCAGGUUACUUGAUCUUUAUAGCUUAUAUCAAGAAUUUGUGAGCUAACUGUGUUUGCAUUCUCAUAUGUACCUAGAGGAGUCUUCUCUUUUUCAUUUUUUGCUGUUUGGCAAAUCUUUUGUCAAGGUAUCAAAUUUUUUGUAUUUCCCAACUUCCAACAAAAUGCCCAUUGUUAAAACUGAUAGUUUCCCUUUCACGAAUAACGUAAUGUAAUCUUUGCGCAGUACUCCAAGUUUGUCAAAUCGGCUUUUGAUGACUUCAUUCUUCCAACAAAGAAGUAUGCUGACAUAAUAAUUCCCCGGGGUGGAGACAAUCAUGUUGCUAUCGAUUUGAUUGUGCAACAUAUCAGGACGAAACUUGGUCAACAUGAUCUUUGUAAAAUAUAUCCUAACUUAUACGUUAUUCAAUCUACUUUCCAGGUACCAUUUUCAUCUUGUUAUUAUAGAUAUGUUUUAGCACCGAUCUGUUUCAGUUUCAUCUUGCCAAUUAUCUGUGCCUCUUCAUCUUGAAGUCAUUUUUCCUUUUUUUUGAGAUCGACCUUUUAUUUCCCUCUAAGAUUAUUAUUUGUUUCAUUCAGAUACGUGGCAUGCAUACACUUAUCCGUGAUGCACAGACGACAAAGCAUGAUUUUGUGUUCUAUGCUGAUAGAUUGAUUCGAUUGGUAAGUUUUUCUUUCUUGCACGGCGAUCAAGUUAACAAGUUUUUCGACAAGUGAAAGAUUUCCCCUUAUCUAUCAAAGUUCUUCCUCACUGUACCAGGUUGUUGAACAUGGACUAGGCCAUCUGCCGUUUACAGAAAAACAGGUGAUCACUCCAACUGGUAAGCAGCUAUCCCCCAUAGUGCAAUAUUAGAUAUGAAUUUGAUUCUAAAUGUUCAUUUAUGUCAUUGUAUUUUAAUCAAUCUAGUUGUGGUUUCCACAGUAUGUGAGCUUAGGGGCGGACCUAGAGUAUUAGGUACGGGUUGGGACGAACACAAUAGCUUUUGCUUAAACCCUAUAUUUGUAUUAGGAAAUCCGUUAAAUAUGAACAAAUAUUUAAUUGUGAACCCAGUAACUAAGACGAGCGAUGGAACCUUCAAAUCCUGGCUCCGCCUCUAUGUGAGCUGAUAUGUUUUCCUGGUUCCGUAACAUUUAGAAGUGAUUGUUUUUAAUUUUUUGGAUUAUAUUGUUUCUUUUGGAUUCAUCGUAGCAUUGCAAUAGAGCUCUUUUGUUUUAUUUCAUGUAUAUCCUUUUUUCCUUAAUCAGUUUUACCUACCAUAACUCACUCAAGAGAGACUGAGUUACUAUUUUGAAAAAAUAAGCUAUCAGGAAAACUGUUGGCAUAUUUGAGAUGCUCUGGCCUCUAAGAAGUAAGCAGCAGCCGUGGUUUGAAAUAUCAAUCGGUACUGCAAAGUGUCAGAGGAAUCAUAAUUAGAAGGGACAAGGCCGAUUCAAUGACUCACAAUGUUUUUUACUUGUGUUGAAAAUGUUGUCACCCAUAUUAUGAGUGCUUCGCUACUGACAUGUCAAAAACUCAAAAUAAUCGCAUCCGAGCUACAUCAUAGGAGAUGCAUCGGAUACCAUGUGGAGUGUGGGCAAUAUUAAAUGAAAGCUUCUCUUGGGAUAAUUGAUGCUAUAUUUUGCCGCUUGAUAUUCCUUUUAUAGAGAGUCGAUAAUGAUACUUUGUCGUGAAUGUGAUUUAUCAUUUGAAAGACUAUUGACCAUAGCAGCUUAGCAAACACGUUUUCUUGGUGCAACGUUUAUUAGUAUCAACACCAUGGUAAUUUGUUACGUUUCAAUCCGUUAGUUUGGUAAAUUUUCAGCACUUGAUUAAUGUCUUCGAAUUUCAUAGUUGCUUAGCUACUUCAAUCCAUAUUAUCUAUGGUGGCGGCUUGGGUUUCAUGAAUUUACUUGGAUAAAAACUAGUCUCUUUCCAGUUUGGAUGUCUAGUUGAGAUGUAUUUACCUGUUAUCUUUUAGGUCAGCUAAAUGAUUGCAAACUGUGGUGAACUUCUUGCUUACCAAGACCCGCAUUGACUAUUAGCCAAUAUUGUCAUUUUUUGAAUCAAGAUUUUACUCAUGUUUAUUCUUGGACUUUGCUCUUCAUGAUAUCCCAAGUUAGCUCCUGUUUCGAUGAGCAUGAAAAGAUAUGCUUAAAUUAACCCACCUCUGUUGAGUGCAGGAUCUGUAUACAGCGGUGUAGAUUUUUGCAAGAGGUUAUGUGGUGUCUCUGUAAUUAGAAGGUAAUUAUUGUUCGUCACCCUUGAUUUCUUCAUAUAUGAGGUAAAAAUGCGGGAUGUUACCUUGAGAAGAUCAAGAUUAAUAAUGUUAAGAGUAAAUGUCACCUAAAAAGGUUUACAUCAAUGGGGGUUCCUUUUUCUUCUAGUGUGGGAAAUAGAUAAUCAAAAUUUAUUAGUUUGCUGUUUAGUCAAUAUUUAGAUUUGUUGUGUUAAUCUCGGAAAAAUCAAAAAUUAAAAUAUGUAUUGCUAAUAAGUCGAAGUAGAAUGUGAACCUGUUUAAUGUUGAAUGUAUAUGGGGGUUUACCUAAUCAUCAUCCUUGGUAUGUUGAAACAUUUUACUUUAAUUCAUUAGAAAUGUCCUUGCUUGCUUCUUUCUGCCUUCAGUAUAAGAUUUAGGGAUUGCUAUGUUCUCUUUACUUGCCAUAAGAAUUUCUAAUUUUGCACAGUGGAGAGAGUAUGGAGAAUGCGUUGCGUGCAUGCUGUAAGGGUAUCAAGAUAGGCAAGAUUCUUAUCCACAGAGAGGGUGACAAUGGUCAGCAGGUUAGCGAUUUGCUUGUCCUCCCGAAUCUUUAUAUUGGUAUUUGCUUUCUUUCUUUUUUUAAAGUUUGUAAUGCCUUUUUUCAUUUAUUGCAUGUAUAAUGAUGCAGCUGAUCUAUGAAAAACUACCAGAAGAUAUUGCAGAAAGGCAUGUCCUUUUGCUGGAUCCUAUCCUUGGCACAGGUUAGUCUAUUUUCAACAACGCCCUCGACAUCACGUGACUGACCAUGACUCUCAAUGCACACAAAAUGUAUAGAUGCACUACAUCAUGAAGAAUGUUGUAAAAUUUUCUUAAUGAGCGAAUGUGUAAGCUAAAGCCUAUAUGUGACAAUCUUCAGGGAAUUCAGCAGUUCAAGCUAUUUCUUUACUGCUAAAGAAGGGAGUCCCCGAGUCCAACAUUUUAUUCCUCAAUCUUAUUUCUGUAAGUUUACCAAUUCAUCCAUUUUUGGCAUUUGAUUAUCUUAGAAUCCACCUUUUUACAAAUGUUGCUAGCACGUAAACAUGUGGAGUUUCUAUUGCAAUAAAAUUCUGGAAUCAUAAUCUUUGAUGUUCUUAAACUAGGCACCCCAAGGAGUACAUGUGGUUUGUAAGCGUUUUCCAAGAAUAAAGAUCGUGACAUCUGAGAUAGAAAAUGGUUUGAACGAUGAUUUUCGUGUUAUUCCUGGAAUGGGCGAGUUUGGUGACAGGUAUUUUGGCACAGACAAUGACUAAACGUUAGACUGGUGGCCCGUCCCUCUCUAUCUCUCAAUCGCGCGAGAGAUAUAACCUUUUCUAUAUCAACCCAAUCAUAUUUUCUGAGGAUCAUUAAGAAGAAAAGGACUCAGUUGAGCAUGAUUAAACAAUAAUGUGUUAAGGUCUGGACAUUAUGAGAUUGUAUUUGACUACAGUUGCAUUAGAAAUGCGAUUUUCAAACUUUUUGUACAUUUGAGUAACACGAGUUUCCUUUAGGAGUUGUAAGAAAUGCAUUAAAAUGGGUUUGAUAUGAAUUACUAUAGUAUCUGGACAACAACAACAACAACAACAACCCAGUAUAAUCCCACAAGUGGGUUAUGGGGAGGGUAAUAUGUACGCAAACCUUACCCCUACCCCGAAGGGUAGAGAGGCUGUUUCCAGGAGACCCUCGGCUCAAAAAAGCAACAUGAGAUGAUAUAUUAGUACCAUAAAAAUGCACAAUAGAAUAACAGCACAUAUCUGGACAAUAUGUGCAUUUACUUUUUAAAUCUUGAAUACCCUAAGCGAAAUUCAUGAUUUCCUUGGUGUAACUAAUGUUGAACUUAUCUAACUAUUGACAAUUCGAGAUCUAUCCUGAUAAUGUGGAUGUUUCGACUUGGUAGUUUUUAUAAUUUUAAUAUCAAAUCUCUCAAGAUAUUUUUAUUUUUACGCACAAAAGAUAUGAAAAUAAAACAUUACAGGACCAUUUAGUUAUAUUCAAAUUAUGAAAGGUUGUAUACAAAUUUCUUUUCCUUUUUUGACCAAAAAUGAGCAUUGGCCAACUCCUUGAAAAAUCGAUUCUGCACAACUGAAAAGGAGAAAGAAAAAGAGCAACUAUGCAACGCAUUGAGAAAGAAGUGUAUCUAAUUGAAGGUGUGAACAAUUAUGUAACAGUAUAUAUAUUCUUUAGAGUACAAAAAUGAAAAAAUUUAAUUUGUGUUUCACAAGUUUGACGGAAUACCAAUUAUCUCCCACCAACGCAUUUAUCGGGUAAUUCUACCCACCAAAGUUUAGAUAGGUGCCAAAAAAUUACUUAGCGCUUUUACCUCUACUGGAUUUGAACUCAAAACCUCAUGGCUCUCAACCGACUUCAUUGACCACACUAGGCCAUACCUUGAGUGGUUAAGUAUAAAAUCUAAUUACGUAACUGAAUCUAUAUAUAUAUAUAUAUAAGAGGUAAUUGAAAAGAUGACUUAGCACCUCUCUUUGGCCAAGAAACUCAUUUAUCUUUUUUCUCCUUUUUUGGCUUUUCCCCUCCCUUAUAUUCCGUUGCUACAUCCUUUAAUAUGUGAUUAUGUUGAUAACUCCCAAGUCCUAAAUACUAUUUAAUGAGUGAUUUUAUGGCAUUCUUUUGUAUUCCCCGUAUAUGCCUAUAAGUUUACUAGGUACAUUAGAAAACCUAAAUCAUGAUUUAUUGGUAAAACUAUUGUCUAUUCAACAGUUAAUGGAGUUUGGUUUAGCUUAAACAAUAUAAUGGUACGGCCGUUACACAUGCACUAGCAAUUUAGUUGAAUUGUAACAUUGGUUUCCCAUUUUAAUGUGGAGGCUUAGUUUGAUGCUUUGUCCAAGGAAGAUGAUGAAUGCAUUCGUAUAUUCUAAGUUCUCAAUGGCAGACUCAAUUGCGGGGGGGGGGGGGGGGGGUGGAUGCACUUGUAUGACAUAGUGUCAAAUGACGGCAAAUUAAUAUGAGUUUCAUGAAUUCUGAUUGCAGAAUAUUUACCUAACAUGUCUCAAAUGUUAGGCAUUGUAUUUAUCUUAUCCUCCUUUUUUGGCCUUUUCCCUAUAUUUUCCUAUUUACGCUACUGUAAAAAAUAAAGUCUAAUAAUUUUUAUCUACUUUUUCUUAAGGAAGCAUGUUGUAUGUCCUAUUUUUUUCCUCUUUUAUUUAUUUACAGCUGAUCUUUAAAAUUGAAUCAAGUAAGUUAUGAUAAUAAUAUUUUCAAUAUAAAACAAUAUAUCUUCCAAUAUUUAGGUAAAUGACAAUGCAAAUUAUUAUUUAAUUUCUUAAUUAGUUGGAUAAAUUUUUUUUCUUAUAUCAAGAAACACUUCAUUAUGAGCUUUCAAUCCAAACACUUCAUGUGAACCAAUGAGGUUUUUGAGUCAUGACUACAAGUAUCAAGUGGUGAAAAAGAAUUACAUGCGACAAAUAUUUUUGUAAAAAUGAAAGAAUGCUUAUUGCUAUAAUAAGGAUAAUAACAGUUACAAGUGUAUUCUAAAAUUGAAGGUUUGUACAUAAUAAAAAACAACCAUGAGAAAGAGACUCUAGUAAAAGAUUUAUGUUUGUGAUAUAAAAUUAAUUUUAUACUCAUAUACAUUAUCUUUUUAAUUUCUUCUGUCUCAACUAAACUUGCAAAAAUUUAUUUUAUGUAUUCACUAUUCUCUUUCUUAGCAGCACAAUAAUUGUAAGUGUACGACAUAACAUUGAACGUUCUAAAUUCUAAUGAUAUGAACAUAAAAAGAACAACUAUGAGAAGAAAACUCUAAUGAAAGAUUUAUAAUAUGAUACAAAAUUAAUUUUAUAAUCAUAUAAAACAAAAUUAAUCUCUUCUAUCUCAACUAAACUUGCAAAAAAAAUAAUUUUUAUGGAUUCAUUUUUUUAACCGCGCGAAGCGCGGAUAUAUUCACUAGUAGCAGAUAAACUUGGAAAUAAGCUAAUUUAUUAGCAUGCAUUAUGUUUAAUAUAACGUUCAACCAACCACAGAACUUAAUAAAUCACUUUGAAUUCCAUUCCCUGCCAAAUUCAUCAUAGCAUGGCAAUCCAAGCAGGAAAAGCAAGGUUAAGUUUGUGUCCAACAAUAUAAUUUCAAAGACAAUUUUGAAUGAAAUAGUAAGCAGUCAUUGCUAAAAUCCAAAAAAUGUUGUGGGUACAUAAAUUAAGCCACAGAUCUUAAUUCUAUGACAGAAAAGAGAUGAUCAACCCCCAAAUAGAUAUCCGGCGGCUUGUUCUUCAUUGCCAUCGAAAAACUUCAGAGCUUGUAUUACUGCAUCCCUUCCAAACCCUAAUUCAACAAGCUUUGCAACUUUGGCUUCAAAUUCAGUUCCCUGCAGAAAAAAUAUUAAUAAAGUAGCACAAAGACCAUAAAUGAUCUGUUCUACUUAACAAUGACUGUAUUUAUUCAAAGGAACAACAAAUUUAUGCAAGCUGUCAAGGAGCAAAUUAAUCUCUAAUUUACCUGUGUCGAAUUCCCAGGGGCGCUUCCUGUGGACCAAGACAAGGUUGAACUAUAAGUAAAUGAAAUUCAAAAGAGAAAUAAAGAGAGCUGUAGAAACAACCAAAAGCAAAAUAGAAAGAAAAUUCAUGUCAUCUUGUUGACUCUUCCUAAAUCAUGUUAAGCAAAUUAAUGUAAGGAAUUUAAAUCCUUGGGUGUGGCGGAACAGUCCAGAUGACAGACAGUUGAAAUGGAAUUCACAAAUAUUAUUUGGAAAUUGAAGCUAACCGGAAGGACCUCCUUUUGCAGGACCAGUCGUCUCCUUUGCUCCAGAUGUUGCCUGUACAGCAAGAAAAAGAACCAAGUUUAGUACUGCUGCCUCGUCGAAAAACCACAAACACAAGGAAAAAGCACUGUUCCUAGAAGGUCCAAAUCCUGAUUUGAAUAUUUAGAGAAAAAUGAUAAUAUAACAGAUUAUUAAAGGGCUGCAUGACCUUAAAGAUUUAAAAAUUGUAGGAUAACAUAUUGCACAAUCUUUAGAGCAAACAGGCUCUAGCAACCCCAGGAAAACAUCAAACUUCCAUCAAGAAUGUCAUAAUUGUAAAAAGAAAGGCAAAUCCUAGGCAAUCAUUUCAUCUAAUUUCAGCAUCAACUUUAUCUAUUAUCUUGGAGAGUGCAUAUAACCAGAACUGCACUCAAAUUUGUAUAAUGUUAGCUCUUGACCUAUUUUGAAGCUAAAAUACGUCAAAUUUGUUGUUCAUUUAUUGCUCGCAUUAAACUAUAGGCAGCAAAAAGUAAAGUCCCACGUACCCACUUUCAGAGAAUGAAAAAGGAAAGAUAGAUAAUGUUGAGUCCGGAAAAAAUCAUUAUGUAAAAAAAAUGCCUUUACCUGGGUUCCUGAGCUCGAAGCCUCCUUGGCGAACCUCUCGUCAUCAAGAAAAUGACCAGGAAUGUCCUUCUCUGAAAUUUGAUGUAAACAAACUUAGUAAAAGCUCAAAGGUAGUACUAUCCAGUACAAAAGUAACCAGGAGGCAUCACCAACCAUGUAGAAAUGGUACAGCAACCUCCCCUCCACCAACUCUCAGAACAUUCUCCUUCAGAUCAAUCAUGCACUGCAAAAGAUCAUUACCGUCCGCUUAUAAAGGCGUGUUGAAAAGAAAAGAUAAGAACAGAAAAGAAAAAGAUGUUACAAGCAGGGAAAGAAAGUCAACCUGGUGUUUGCGAAGCAUGUCAAGUCCAAAGAGAAAUUCCAUAUUGGGAGAAUCCAGUACCACGAAAGAACAAGGGUAAAAUAUUUGCCCAAUCUGCCAUAGUUAAGAGUUUAGCAAAUUGAAGUGAAACAUGCUAACAGAGCAUUACCUUGGAACUUAUCAUCAAUCCAAAGGCAAGCAUAUCCAUGCAGCUUUUUAUUACUUCGACAGCUUUUCAUUUACUAAAAUGAAUGCAUAUGUGCCUGGUUGCACGACUUAAUCCUCAAGUAUUAUGGGUAGAACAAGUAAUUAUCACCAACUGAUUAGUGGGACAAGUCAUCAGACAGAUUGAUUUAAGCAAAUGGCAAAUAAGCUAAAAACUACUUACAGCUGACAGAUUAUUAGUAUUAUUUGACUAUUAUUUGUGGCUAUAAGUUGUGCAGAAAUGUUUGCAUGUAGCUUAUAUAAGUUUUAGACUGCUAGAUCUAUAGACAGGAUACUUAGCAUCAGUAAUCCAGAUCAUAAAAUUGGACAUUACUAAGAAAUAGCACAGUAGUACAGAAACUGAAAGAACAGAAUAUGGAAAGCAUUUGAUAGCAGCAGAAAUUUAAUCACUCUAUUUAAUUUUCCGGGCAGUGCAUGAGAAUAGAAAGAAUUCAUCAGUAGAACAGCAGCAUCUAUUGUAUACCGUCAAUGCACUUGAAGUACAGACACAAGAUUGCAAGAUAACACAUCAGCUCCAAGGAAGCAACAAACCUUGAUUGGAGCAACAUGAAUACGACCUAGUAUCUCUGAUUGACCAACUCCAUGAGCAAUGCCCUUAUAGCGUGUAUCUAAUAGCCUCAACAAUCUGCAAGAGAACGGGUCAGCAGAUAUAUUAACAAAUCUUCAGGGCUAGCCUAUUUCUGAAAGAAAAAAAUAAGCCAGCAACAAACACCUGUUACAUUUAUUACUACAUUAUUCUUACGGUAAAUAAAACCAAAAACCUGAAUAUCAAACUGAUUAAUGUAUUGCCCAUAAACUUUUACUUUUUGAUAACCGAGAAAUAACCAAGGGCCAACGGCAUACGGUUUGAAACUCGGUAAAUAAUGGGCCAACCCUUCUACCCUAAAAACUUAUUAGUUAUUCACUCAACCUCCUCAUCAAGCUAAUGAAUGCCUCCUGGGUGGUAUUAUAAAUUUUAAAGAUAGUUCUGAAAUCUUAUAAUAGACAACGGAUAUCAAAAAGUAACCCUAUAAUAGAGGCAUGGUUCAAAAUAUAAGAGAGAGCAGAUAGAAACGUUCAGAGCUAAAGACGAUCCGGAAUAGCCUUGAGGCACCAUAGCAUGUCGAUGAAAAGCAUGCAAUCUUAGUGUCAAACAGAUUACAGCAGGAGUUCAAGAUGCUGCAUUAGUUCUUUUGUGCUUCUACAGUUCAAAUUGAAUCCUUAAUUUGCCUAUUGUUUAUUCUUCUGUCCUUCUAGAAUACGAAUUUUUCAACAACAUACCUCAUUGAAAAAUUUCAUAAAUAAAAAGAACAAAAAUGAGAGAAACUCUUCUUAUAUCUCUGACUUUAUUUCUUUCAUUCUUUGAUAUGGUAAAAAUAUAUCUCUGACUAAAACUACUCAUCAAUUUCUACGUUUGCAAUAAUAAUUUUUUUUGAUAAAGAACGGUAUUAUGCGUGCUUUAAUAAUCAGUUGUGCUAAUAAAAUAAUAAAAGGAUCAAACAAGUUACUAUAAACAACACAGCACAGCCUCGUAAAUCAUACCCACAACGUUCUGCACAGCUUUUAGAUAUAAUUGUUGACUGAGCUCCACUAUCCACAAAAGCCUAAACCAAAGAGAAAGGUAAUAUCCCACUCAACCAAAAGUAACAAGAUGUACCAAGAAGAUGGAGCACAUCCAAAUAAAAAUCCCUACCUUUAGAGGAUGACCAUUUACUUCCAUGUCAACAUAUAACAUAACCUGAAAUAAGCCAUAAAAGUUAACUCGGCUUCGUUAAAACCACAGAGAAAAUCAAUAUUUGAAAGGCAUGAGGUAGUUUUACGUACCACCCUUGCAAAAGCUUCAGGAUUGUAUUCCAAUGCUGCUGCCCAGUUUUCUUCAAUUCCUUUCUGGAAAAUAUGCAAAACAUGGAAAAGCUCUAACACAAUUAGACCGAACUUCCAUUGCAUAUUGGAUAUUUUGCCAUUUUUUGGAAAAGACAUCGCAAUGAAAGAGAAAACUACUAUAAGGUAGAAGGAAAAAUAUUGGCAACAGAAUUUGCGAAGAGAGUAAGGACGAUCAAGGACAAGUUCCACAAACUCUAGCAGCCAAUCAAUCAAUUAGGUCCAAAUCCAAAUUAGUUGGGAUCGGCUAUGUGAAUCUUGGCUAUGUGAGUCCUCUAUGUAUAUAGAUCAAUCAAAUCAACUAUAAGUUCCACAGUCUUUGUCGUCAAAAAUGAACAAGCAAAAGCUACAGAUGAUUGCAAGAGACGCUAGUAGGAAAGGAUACAAUCCUCAUUUAAAUGAACGUCAUUUGUUCGUAUUCGAGUGUCUCAAUAUAAAAGCCACUUAACUUUGCCAAAUCGAUAUUAGAUCAAAUAAUAAAUGUCCUACUGAAGAAGUUAUUUCAGACAUUUGCCAAUAUAUUUAUCUAUUCCAAUGGUAAGUCUUGCUUAAAUUAAUGCGCUUUCAGAAAAAUACUGGAAAAAGAGCAAGAAUGACUGUUUAUGGUCCAUUCACGCGUAAAGAACCAUAUUGAAAUUAAAGAAUGUAACAAACGGAACGCUUGUGCUAAUAACUUGAAACAGUCUCCGGAACAUCAUCCGGUACACUUCUGCCAAUGUAAAUGUCGACAAAAGAAUACAAUAGAAAAGAAAAAUAAAAGAUAAUUAUAAUUGAAAACAAUAAAGAUGACAAGAUUUAUUAUGCCAACUAACCUGGCGAAUUGCUUCUUCUAUUUUCCUUUGUGCCUCGACAUCGAAUGGAUCAGCAUAAAGCAGUGCCUAUAAUUCAACAUAAUGUAGAUUAAUCAAUGAAUAUCAAUCAAUCUACUACUCCUCAAUCCCGAAUUAUCUGGGUCAGCUAUAUGAAUCCUCUUUAAUCAUUCCACUUAAUGCAUAUCAGAGUGGACACGUCCCACCAAAGGAAACAAAAUUUUCAGAUGUCUAUAAAAAAGUUAGAAUUAGAAACAUUUAGAUCAAAUGAUUGAGAAAUAUUGAGCUAUCCUGCCUAUUUCAUAUAUGCUAGGGGCAAAGGUUCAGACUUCAGAUAGCAAAAACAAAGUGUAAAGCCUGAUCACAUAACUUUGCAAGCUUUUGAAGGUGUUCUGCGAAGUUAUAUAGUACAUAUCAAAAUGGAUCAGAUAACUUUGCAGAACACCUUCAAAAGCCUCUGCCAAUUCCUUAAUGUCACAUUCUUAGUAGAUUUUACGAGAUAACCGUGACCUUGCCAUAAAAGAAAGCACACGAUCCUAAAUGGAGCAAACAAAAUAACUGUUCUCAAAAUGCGGCAUAAGGAGAUGUUACAUUCUGCUCUUCUUACAGCCAAUCACUAGCUUUCAGUUCCAAGACAUCAUUUAGCAAGUAGUUAUGAAACAAUCAACAUGGGACUCUCAAGAUUGUGGAUAACAACAACUACAUUAAAAUAUACAGAAAAAGAUAGCAAUUUAGCAAUAGAAGCUCCUGACCAUCUCCUCUUCUUGACGACGCCGUAGCUCUGAUUUGUGCUGAUGACGCAGACGCAGAAGGUCUUGCAGCUUAUUUAGGUCAUUACCGAGGACAGCUUGUGCUAACUCAGGAUCAUUCUGCAAGUUCAAACAUCAUAUACAGGCUCAUGGGACCUCUGUGCUAUAUUGCAAACCAGCCACAAAGUGGAGCGGACUAGAACAAAAUUAAUGGAUCACAUGUCCACAUCAGAAUAAUUAGAGGAAUCCAUCAGAAUGCAUAUGAAACUUUCCUCUCCAAAUCUAACUAAUCCCUCAUUGCGCACAUAAGAUCAUGAUGAAGUCAUAAUUACCAAUCAUUUAAAAAUCAGACCAGUCCAACAAAAUCGCAAAUAUGAGAAGAACCCACAAAAAAAUUAUGAAACUUCCUUUCAAAGUAUAACUAAUCCUUCAGCAUACCUAUAAGGUCGUGAUAAAGUCAUUAGUGGGGGAGGUGUGAAAUAAUAGAUCAAAUUGGAAAAUGGGUGCUUAUAGUUAAAAAAACCUUUGAGCAGGUCAUAUGAUGGAAACAACAAUGCUUUUGGAGAUUGAUUUUCUUAAAUUGUUUUACCAAAAGCAAAAAAAAAAAAAAGGAAAUGGCUAACUUGCUCCACCUGAAAAAGCUGGGCCAUCAAAUUGGAAUCAUUUCUCAAGUGUUGUUGGAAAGCUGAAGGAUUUACAGCAGAUCCAUCUUGCUUGAAGCUCAAGUCAUUUGCAGGUGCACUGAAAUGCAUUCUUAUUGUUAGCAGAAGAUGAAAGACGAGAUGUAUUUGCAGGAUAUGGCCGAGCAAAUGGGUAAAGGGUAACAACAUGGGACAAUAAACAGGCAAUAAAAUAACAAAACACGAACAAAAGCAAUAUGAGCCGAAAAUGCACCUAGACAAGGAUGUUGCACUAGAUACCAUCAUCACCAAAUCUCCAUCACCAACGCCAAGAGCGCUCAGUUUGUCAGAAUUCNNNNNNNNNUAUAUAUAUAUAUAUAUAUAUAUAUAUAUAUAUAUAUAUAUAUAUAUAUAUAUAUAUAAAGUGAUAAUUCAACCACAAUCGAUAUGUUACUCUUCCUUUUUAUUUUGAGUUACUAUACACCGACGGUGAAAAAAAAAUUACACAAUCAGGUUACUCAAUAUGCAAUUACAGGUACAUUGCUAGACAAACAUUAAUUGUAAUAUGGUAAUAGUGGUAACUAACCUGGGAUUAAAAUUACUGACUUUACACAGUCGGUGUACAUAAUUUAAAUCCUUUUAUAUUCUCUUAGUUCAUAUCUACCAAUUUUCCAAAUCGUUUCACACAAUUCCAUCAACUACAUUAUUGUAUAUAACUUUCACAACUUUGCAGAAUUCAAAUUCAUUUACUAAUCAAAAUUUGAACUUUAACAUAGUGUUUUCUCUAUCGAACUAACUUUCAACUGUUUAUUUAAGUUUUCUUCUAUUAUCACCGUAUAAACACACACACACACACAUAAUCACCGUGUCGUAUAAAAUUUUAAAAAAAAAUCCAACUAACCUCAACUUCCAGUAGAGCUUUCAGGUUCUCUACCUGGAGUACACACAAUAACAAACAUCUUCAGCAUUAAAAAAAACUUUAAGAUCCAAAUGUAUCAGCAAAACUUAGGGUUUUAGGCCUGCUAUUAAAAUUAUAUAUAAAAAAUGGAAAAGGAGACUAAUGAGAGUGAAUUAUACAGAUUCAUCACGAUCGACAUCGAGAGUGACGAUUUGUUCGUCAGUUGUCAUUACAGUGAUCUUCAUCUUCCACGAUUCCAGUUAGGAACAGAUGAACAGUUACUUGAAAGGACUUGGAUGUCAAUUCUCCGGCGCUGUUGUCGUUUCUUAUUGCCGAAGAAAUUUCGAACUCCGUUUUGUUAUUCCCAAUAUCCAGCUUUUCGCUGGAGGGAUGAAUUUGAAGGACUGCGUGUACGAUAGUCAAAACAGCUCAUAAGUUAUAAUCGCAUUCAGGAAAUACGAUUUAUAAGUCGCAGUUAAUAAAUGCAUAAGUCACAUUCACUAAUGGAGUCCGUAUUUUUUGAUAUGUG